rnacentral:misc_RNA from 1 species
AGCUGCUUCGAUCGAACCGUUUUAGAAACAUCAGUGGCCAACGAUCGUCAGGAUUGUUGAGCUGCAUUGGCGGGAUUUCGCCGUCUACGUUUCUCUUUCUUCGCGGACGAACACGCGCCAGGGGCUUAGCGCUGUGCGAAGGUUUGGCGCUUGUGCGAUGCAUUGGCGUGAGCCGAUUGCGCGCGAGCAUGUCCCUGACCCUUCCAUGGGAAGGAGCGUUAGGGGCUUGUAGCUCAGUUGGUUAGAGCGCGCGCUUGAUAAGCGUGAGGUCGGAAGUUCAAGUCUUCCCAGGCCCACCACUUUGAUCGAGUGCGGGGCAUUCGUCUUCUGGUACGGGGCCAUAGCUCAGCUGGGAGAGCGCGUGCUUUGCAAGCAUGAGGUCGUCGGUUCGAUCCCGUCUGGCUCCACCAGAUGAAAUCGAAGAAUCGAGAUGCCUCGAAUAAUCGUCCGCGAAACAUCACUUCGCACGCGUUGUCCGGAUGGACAGCGACGUGCGUGAUAUCUGACAUCGUAAAGAGGAGAUCGAUCCGAGUUUGGGAUCUGCAAAGCAAUUUGCGGAGCCUCAUUCCUAAUCUCCAGAUCAUUUCGGCGCUCGCUCAUCGCAAGAUGAGCAAGUUGUAAAUGAUCUUUGUAGCGAAGCUUGACCGCCUCGCUAUCGGGUUGAUCUUACGAAGCAAGCUGGUCUUUCUAAUCAUUGUCCGGCCGUACAUAGCAUUCAUCGAGGGUGCGCGUUUUGAGGUUUCGAUCUCAGGGCAAUUGUACGGACAACAUUCUGCCGAGUGUGUGGACAUUGAUAAUGAGAGCAAUCAAGUGCCUUAAGGGUGUUCGGUGGAUGCCUUGGCGCUGAGAGGCGAUGAAGGACGUGCUACGCUGCGAUAAGCCG